rnacentral:rRNA from 1 species
GAGGAACUCUGAGAUACGCUCUACACCCUUUGUGACAUACCUAUAACUGUUGCUUCGGCGGGCAGGGUCUCCGUGACCCUCCCGGCCUCCCGCCCCCGGGCGGGUCGGCGCCCGCCGGAGGAUAACCAAACUCUGAUUUAACGACGUUUCUUCUGAGUGGUACAAGCAAAUAAUCAAAACUUUUAACAACGGAUCUCUUGGUUCUGGCAUCGAUGAAGAACGCAGCGAAAUGCGAUAAGUAAUGUGAAUUGCAGAAUUCAGUGAAUCAUCGAAUCUUUGAACGCACAUUGCGCCCGCCAGCAUUCUGGCGGGCAUGCCUGUUCGAGCGUCAUUUCAACCCUCAAGCUCUGCUUGGUGUUGGGGCCCUACAGCUGAUGUAGGCCCUCAAAGGUAGUGGCGGACCCUCCCGGAGCCUCCUUUGCGUAGUAACUUUACGUCUCGCACUGGGAUCCGGAGGGACUCUUGCCGUAAAACCCCCAAUUUUCCAAAGGUUGACCUCGGAUCAGGUAGGAAUACCCGCUGAACUUAAGCAUAUCAAAGGCCGGGGAGGGAA